AAAAGUUAAAUAAUAAUAAUAAUAAUAAUAAUAAUAAUAAUAAUAAUAAUAAUAAUUUGCAGCCUUUAUUUGAUUUGGGUUAAUGUUACGGUGAAGUUCAGUUUUUGUUCACAGUUAUUCCUUGUCCAUUGUAGCAUUUUUCCUUUAUAAUCAUAGGAAUUUAUGGCUUCAUAUCAAAAGAAGUUCCCCAUAAAUAAUUGAUCCUACUUCUGAAGACUCCAUUUUUAUGCACACAGUUUCAUUUUUUUUAUCAUUAACUAUACUGAUGACUUUACUUGGUUUUCAAAUGCAUCAAAGCUGUCCCAUUAGUAACAGCAGCUUAGUCAUAGUAUUAGAAUAUUUCUAUUUCAGUAUGAGCUAAACAUCCUGUCAAAGUACAUAGCAGCCAGCCAAUACAGGGCAUGUAGAUUUACACUCGUCGUUCUAGUUUCUUGGUUAACUAUAAGGAGGGUAGGAGCCUCUGAGCAAGGUGAUGAACAAACUCAAUUAUACGGGAUCCAUGCAGUACGAUAUGAAAUGAAAUGAAAUCAAAUCUAUGGUGUUUGGCAUUAUGAAUGCCAAAAAUUCUCAUUUUGGUUAUUCUUUUCUCUCACACCUCCAAAGCGUAUUGUUUCCCAGGCUACCAAGUGGGAAUCGCAUGCCUAGGAAAGUGCUGCUCAAGAAUGUCAAUGGACGGGAUAAAUGGAUGGAUAUUUUUAGAUUAUGCAGAUGAAGUAAAUUCUGCGUUCUGUUCUAUGGGAAGCAUUGGAUGUUACAGAUCCUUUCAUAUCAGUAGGACUGCUGCUUCUCGACACUAGGGUUCAUUUAUACAUUAGCAUGCUACGAAUGCUGUUUGUCUCGUUUGGAGUCCUUACAGCUGUUUUGCCUCCUGUUGAGGAGCCAAUGAAUCAGGUAUUAACUCAGCUUUUGCUUGUAAGGCAACUGUGGUUUGAUUUAUUGCUGUGUUUCUCAUGUUCUGAAGUCUUCACUAUAAUAAAUUAUUCCUACCAACUAUUUUCGACAAUUCGCGUUAGGCUUUACGUUGCAGCAAAUCUCAACUUUGCCAACGAAAUGGAACAAAAAUUUAGUGGUGAAGACCUUUUUGCUACUCUCUAUGUCAAUAUUUUCUCUCUUGUUAUUUUUCUCUCUUUUUUUUUGUAAUUGUGAUUGGCAGAACACACAACGUGGAAUCAUGUCAGGACCACUGAGUUUUUACUCCAAGAAAUGAUCAUCAGAAAUUGAAUUAACUAAUGUAACUAAACAGAAUCAUUAUAAUUAUUAUAUGGAAUCAUUUUUCU